rnacentral:tRNA from 1 species
UCAGCCGUAGCUCAGCUGGAUAGAGUACUCGGCUACGAACCGAGCGGUCGGAGGUUCGAAUCCUCCCGGAUGCACCA